UGGGGAAUAUUGCACAAUGGGCGAAAGCCUGAUGCAGCGACGCCGCGUGAGGGAUGACGGCCUUCGGGUUGUAAACCUCUUUCAGUAGGGACGAAGCGCAAGUGACGGUACCUGCAGAAGAAGCACCGGCUAACUACGUACCAGCAGCCGCGGUAAUACGUAGGGUGCGAGCGUUGUCCGGAAUUACUGGGCGUAAAGAGCUCGUAGGCGGUUUGUCACGUCGUCUGUGAAAUCCUAGGGCUUAACCCUGGACGUGCAGGCGAUACGGGCUGACUUGAGUACUACAGGGGAGACUGGAAUUUCUGGUGUAGCGGUGGAAUGCACAGAUAUCAGGAAGAACACCGAUGGCGAAGGCAGGUCUCUGGGUAGUAACUGACGCUGAGGAGCGAAAGCAUGGGUAGCGAACAGG
rnacentral:rRNA from 1 species